GCGUAGCCCUCACGAUCGCAUACCGCAACUGAGCAAGGCGAAGCUCUGGAGAGGAGUUGAAUCACUUGACCGGGCAGCUGUGCAGGUUGAUUCCAGUCUGGACACUCUGAAGCAAUUGCUACUGGGACUUCUGAGCUACUCAGACACAGCAGAGAUAAAGGCCAUAUAAAAAACUAGAUUUGGAUCAGUUCUACAGCUCUUUUAAGGACAAAGUCUGUCUUUCUGCAAGAUUCUUACAACUUUAUACACUUUGAGUCGUUCAGUUAAUAGAUUAUUCAGAGGGUAAAAACAGAAGAAGUCAUUGCAGGAGGUUGUGUUUGACUAGGGCUCAACCUCCGUCUCUACAUCCUAAGCCUUACAGAAAAUUUUCUCAGACUGCGAUCAGAUGCUAUGCUGAUUUAUGUUAAAGAAAAAAAGAAAAGAACUUUGAAGAGAAAGCAAAUACUCUUGGAUAGUGAAGGUAUGUUACUUAA